CAGCCGCGGUAAUACGGAGGGAGCGAGCGUUGUUCGGAAUUACUGGGCGUAAAGCGUGCGCAGGCGGCUUUGUAAGUCAGAAGUGAAAUCCCAGGGCUUAACCUUGGAAUUGCUUUUGAAACUGCUAAGCUUGAGUAUCGGAGAGGUUGGCGGAAUUCCCAGUGUAGAGGUGAAAUUCGUAGAUAUUGGGAGGAACACCAGUGGCGUAAGCGGCCAACUAGACGAUAACUGACGCUCAGGCACGAAAGCGUGGGGAUCAAACAGGAUUAGAUACCCUGGUAGUCCACGCUGUAAACGAUGUGUGCUAGCUACUGGGCAGUUUACUGUUCGGUGGCGCAGCUAACGCACUAAGCACACCGCCUGGGGAGUACGGUCGCAAGAUUAAAACUCAAAGGAAUUGACGGGGACCCGCACAAGCGGUGGAGCAUGUGGUUUAAUUCGACGCAACGCGAAGAACCUUACCAGGCCUUGACAUCCCGGUCGCGGGGAGCAGAGACGCUCUCCUUCAGUUCGGCUGGACCGGUGACAGGUGCUGCAUGGCUGUCGUCAGCUCGUGUCGUGAGAUGUUGGGUUAAGUCCCGCAACGAGCGCAACCCUCGCUACUAGUUGCCAUCAGGUUAAGCUGGGCACUCUAGUGGAACUGCCGGUGGCAAGCCGGAGGAAGGUGGGGAUGACGUCAAGUCCUCAUGGUCCUUACGCGUGGGGCUACACACGUGCUACAAUGGCGGUGACAGAGGGAUAAUCCCUAAAAGCCGUCUCAGUUCGGAUUGUUCUCUGCAACUCGAGAGCAUGAAGUUGGAAUCGCUAGUAAUCGCGGAUCAGCAUGCCGCGGUGAAUACGUUCCUGGGUCUUGU
rnacentral:rRNA from 1 species